UGACUAGAUUAUCCUAGGAUUACCUUCAAUUUGUGAAAUGGCCCAGCCAGAACAGAAGUCCAUGAGUCACUAAGUCAGAAUUUGCAAAGGAACCACUUCAGAGAAUCACAAAACCAGAGUUCAAACAACCACUGGAACAUCAAAUUUCCAUAAGCAUGAGGCUGGCUUUCAAGGAUCCCAAAAGAUGUCAGAAGGAGCUAGAAGCCAGAAGACAGAAACAUCCUGGGAUCCUGAGGUGAUGUUUGGAGGAGAGCCGCCCAGGAAGAGCAUCUGAACAGGACUGUCCACCCUGAA